GGCACCAUAGUGUAGUGGUCAGCAUGUCUGCUUUACACGGAGAAGGUCCUGGGUUUGUGCCUCAGGUGGAGCCA
rnacentral:tRNA from 1 species